UCCCUCGAGCCGGAUUUGAACCAGCGACCUGAGGAUCACUGUUGUAACAUCUACAGUCCUCCGCUCUGCCAACUGAGCUAUCGAGGG
rnacentral:tRNA from 1 species